rnacentral:rRNA from 1 species
UACAGAGGGUGCGAGCGUUAAUCGGAAUUACUGGGCGUAAAGCGUGCGCAGGCGGUUUUGUAAGCCAGAUGUGAAAUCCCCGGGCUUAACCUGGGAAUGGCAUUUGGGACUGCAAGGCUGGAGUGCGGCAGAGGAGACUGGAAUUCCGUGGUGUAGCAGUGAAAUGCGUAGAUAUCAGGAGGAAUACCGAUGGCGAAGGCGGGUCUCUGGGCAGUUGCUGACGCUGAUGCGCGACAGCGUGGGGAGCAAACAGG